rnacentral:lncRNA from 1 species
CUUUGUCAUUAUGGGGUAUUUCGUGUAGUUUGGUGAUCAUUUAAAUUAAAAUGUUAUUGAAACCAUUUUAGAAUAAGGCUGUAACGUAACAAAAAGUGGAAAAAGGGGAGGGGUCUGCAUAUUUUCCGAACGCACUGUAUUUCUCAACAUGCUCACAACCUGCCAUUAGAUACAAAUUAUAAAGAAAAUUGUGCAUGUCAAGUUAUAGUCAAAUACCGUAUGGAAAAUAAUAUUUAUCAUCUACUAUUCUUUCAAUUCACCACUUAAAACAGUUUUGACAUUUGUAUCUUGUAUUUUUUGCUAUUGAAUUAAAUGAUAGUCACAUAAUUUAAAAAAACCCCCAUCAAAAUCGCUUUGGUACUAUUUUCACAAGUAUGUGGUACAAUUUCACAACUCUUAGUAGAAAACUCAAAACAGAUAAUCAAAAUGAUGUUUUUUCAAAACUUUAAGGCACAUUUUCAAUUGACUAAGUACAACACACAAAAUCACACAGUAACUUUUUCACAAAACCUAAUCAGUGUUUCAUCUAGAAAUACCUUUCAUAUAAAGUAAUUGUCUUCCACAAUGCAAUGCUCUGAUUCUCUUCUCAUUUCUUUAAAUACAUUUGACCGUCACUUAAUCCAACUGCGCUCACAAUUUGCAGACUUGUUUACGUGCUGCUGUGCGUUUUGUUGCUAACCUUACUUUGCUACCUGACAACUUUACGGUUUUUACUUUUUAAUUACCGUUUAUAUUUUUAGUUUUUCCCUCACUCAACUUUUUCACUCUGGACGCUUUAUCUGGACAUGGUUCGUCAAGACCUCCACCAGCCGACGCUAAGUAGUAACAUUAACAUGAUGCCUUCUAAUUGCAGUCGCUGUACUCAUAAUAUACAGGAGAACGAUCGCCUUAUGGCGAGGAUAGCUGUCCUGCAAGCCCAGCUUCAGACGCAAUCGUUAGGCAAGGCCCUAGGACCAUGCCUCAGGACUACCUGGCAUGAUGACUCCUUGCUGUCCCCAGUCCACCUGGCCGUGCUGCUGCUCCAGUUUCAACUGUUCUGCCUGCGGCUAUGGAACCCUGACCUGUUCACCGGACGUGCUACCUGUCCCAGAUCUGCUGUUUUCAACUCUCUAGAGACAGCAGGAGCGGUAGAGAUACUCUCAAUGAUCGGCUAUGAAAAGCCAGCUGACAUUUACUUCUGAGGUGCUGACCUGUUGCACCCUCGACAACUACUGUGAUUAUUAUUAUUUUACCAUGCCGGUCAUUUAUGAACAUUUGAACAUCUUGGCCAUGUUCUGUUAUAAUCUCCACCCGGCACAGGCAGAAGAGGACUCACCCCUCAUAGCCUGGUUCCUCUCUAGGUUUCUUCCAAGGUUUUGGCCUUUCUAGGGAGUUUUUCCUAGCCACCGUGCUUCUACACCUGCAUUGCUUGCUGUUUGGGGUUUUAGGCUGGGUUUCUGUACAGCACUUUGAGAUAUCAGCUGAUGUAAGAAGGUCUAUAUAAAUAAAUACAUUUGAUUUUGAUUUGAUUUUGGUGCAUCACUUAACCGUUUGGUAAACCUAUAGUUUUUAAACUGGUUUGUCUACUGUAUAUGGAUUUUGAGAACUACAGGAACAAAAUGUGUGUUUGUAAAGUAUAAACAUCUAUAUUACAUGUAUUAUACAUGAUAACCAUACAUAAUGACUACUCGUUG